rnacentral:rRNA from 1 species
GAUGAACGCUGGCGGCGUGCUUAACACAUGCAAGUCGAACGAUGAAGCCCAGCUUGCUGGGUGGAUUAGUGGCGAACGGGUGAGUAACACGUGAGUAACCUGCCCUUAACUCUGGGAUAAGCCUGGGAAACUGGGUCUAAUACCGGAUAGGAGCGUCCACCGCAUGGUGGGUGUUGGAAAGAUUUAUCGGUUUUGGAUGGACUCGCGGCCUAUCAGCUUGUUGGUGAGGUAAUGGCUCACCAAGGCGACGACGGGUAGCCGGCCUGAGAGGGUGACCGGCCACACUGGGACUGAGACACGGCCCAGACUCCUACGGGAGGCAGCAGUGGUGAAUAUUGCACAAUGGGCGAAAGCCUGAUGCAGCGACGCCGCGUGAGGGAUGACGGCCUUCGGGUUGUAAACCUCUUUCAGUAGGGAAGAAGCGAAAGUGACGGUACCUGCAGAAGAAGCACCGGCUAACUACGUG